rnacentral:rRNA from 1 species
AUUAGUGGCGGACGGGUGAGUAACGCGUGGAUAACCCGCCGUAUACAGGGGGAUAACACUUAGAAAUAGGUGCUAAUACCGCAUAAGCGCACGGUUCCGCAUGGAACAGUGUGAAAAACUCCGGUGGUAUACGAUGGAUCCGCGUCUGAUUAGCCAGUUGGUGGGGUAACGGCCCACCAAAGCGACGAUCAGUAGCCGGCCUGAGAGGGUGAACGGCCACAUUGGGACUGAGACACGGCCCAAACUCCUACGGAAGGCAGCAG